rnacentral:rRNA from 1 species
GACGAACGCUGGCGGCGUGCCUAAUACAUGCAAGUUGAGCGCUGAAGGUUGGUACUUGUACCAACUGGAUGAGCAGCGAACGGGUGAGUAACGCGUGGGGAAUCUGCCUUUGAGCGGGGGACAACAUUUGGAAACGAAUGCUAAUACCGCAUAAAAACUUUAAACACAAGUUUUAAGUUUGAAAGAUGCAAUUGCAUCACUCAAAGAUGAUCCCGCGUUGUAUUAGCUAGUUGGUGAGGUAAAGGCUCACCAAGGCGAUGAUACAUAGCCGACCUGAGAGGGUGAUCGGCCACAUUGGGUCUGAGACACGGCCCAAACUCCUACGGGAGGCAGCAGUAGGGAAUCUUCGGCAAUGGACGAAAGUCUGACCGAGCAACGCCGCGUGAGUGAAGAAGGUUUUCGGAUCGUAAAACUCUGUUGGUAGAGAAGAACGUUGGUGAGAGUGGAAAGCUCAUCAAGUGACGGUAACUACCCAGAAAGGGACGGCUAACUACGU